rnacentral:rRNA from 1 species
UGGAUCCAGACUUUGAUCAUGGCUCAGGAUGAACGCUAGCUACAGGCUUAACACAUGCAAGUCGAGGGGAAACGACAUCGAAAGCUUGCUUUUGAUGGGCGUCGACCGGCGCACGGGUGAGUAACGCGUAUCCAACCUGCCCACCACUUGGGGAUAACCUUGCGAAAGUAAGACUAAUACCCAAUGAUAUCUCUAGAAGACAUCUGAAAGAGAUUAAAGAUUUAUCGGUGAUGGAUGGGGAUGCGUCUGAUUAGCUUGUUGGCGGGGUAACGGCCCACCAAGGCAACGAUCAGUAGGGGUUCUGAGAGGAAGGUCCCCCACAUUGGAACUGAGACACGGUCCAAACUCCUACGGGAGGCAGCAGUGAGGAAUAUUGGUCAAUGGACGAGAGUCUGAACCAGCCAAGUAGCGUGCAGGAUGACGGCCCUAUGGGUUGUAAACUGCUUUUAUAAGGGAAUAAAGUGAGUCUCGUGAGACUUUUUGCAUGUACCUUAUGAAUAAGGACCGGCUAAUUCCGUGCCAGCAGCCGCGGUAACACGGAAGGUCCGGGCGUUAUCCGGAUUUAUUGGGUUUAAAGGGAGCGUAGGCCGGAGAUUAAGCGUGUUGUGAAAUGUAGACGCUCAACGUCUGCACUGCAGCGCGAACUGGUUUCCUUGAGUACGCACAAAGUGGGCGGAAUUCGUGGUGUAGCGGUGAAAUGCUUAGAUAUCACGAAGAACUCCGAUUGCGAAGGCAGCUCACUGGAGCGCAACUGACGCUGAAGCUCGAAAGUGCGCGUAUCGAACAGGAUUAGAUACCCUGGUAGUCCGCACGGUAAACGAUGGAUGCCCGCUGUUGGUCUGAAUAGGUCAGCGGCCAAGCGAAAGCAUUAAGCAUCCCACCUGGGGAGUACGCCGGCAACGGUGCAACUCAAAUGAAUUGACGGA